CCUACGGGAGGCAGCAGUGAGGAAUAUUGGUCAAUGGACGAGAGUCUGAACCAGCCAAGUAGCGUGAAGGAUGAAUGCCCUCUGGGUUGUAAACUUCUUUUAUAUGGGAAUAAAACAGGGUAUGCAUACCCUCUGGUAUGUACCAUAUGAAUACGGAUCGGCUAACUCCGUGCCAUCAGCCGCGGUAAUACGGAGGAUCCGAGCGUUAUCCGGAUUGAUUGGGUUUAAAGGGAGCGUAGGUGGAUUGUUAAGUAAGUUGUGAAAGUUUGCGGCUCAACCGUAAAAUUGAAGUUGAAACUGGCAGUCUUGAGUACAGUAGAGGUGGGCGGAAUUCGUGGUGUAGCGGUGAAAUGCUUAGAUAUCACGAAGAACUCCGAUUGCGAAGGCAGCUCACUGGACUGCAACUGACACUGAUGCUCGAAAGUGUGGGUAUCAAACAGGAUUAGAUACCCCUGUAGUC
rnacentral:rRNA from 1 species